rnacentral:lncRNA from 1 species
UGUGGGUGCCAGAGGGGUACCAGGGGGUGUGUGGGGGUGCCUGGCUCUGACCCCCCCCCCCCCCAGCACUGGUCCGCGGCUGCGUCCAGGCCUUCUGGCGCCACGGGGUGCAGGUGUGGCAGGUGGGCUCCGCGCAGCUGAUCGAGGAGCUGCGGGACCAGCGCUGGACCUUCCGCCUGCUCAGCUCCCACAGCACCCUGGUCCUGGAGAUGCGCCCCGCCGACGAGGCCAACGCUUACAGCAACCUCUACGUCCAGGCGUGACCCCCCCCGGAACGGGGGGGGGACCCCCCCGGGGCUGGGGGGGGGGCAGGGAGGCUGAGCUGGGCCCCGCCCAGCCAGAUCAGCACCCAUGGGUGGGCUGUGCCCCCUCCCCCCCAGCAUCUCCCUCCUUUUGCUGACAUUUGUAAUUAUUUGCACCCCCAAAAAAACCCUGAAGAGCC